UCAAGCUACUAAGGGCGUGCGUGUGGAUGCCUUGGCUCAAUCAGGCGAUGAAGGACGUGGCAAGCUGCGAUAAGCCUCGGGGAGAAGUAAGCAUUCUAUGAUCCGGGGAUUUCCGAAUGGGGGAACCCAACUGGUGUGAACACCAGUUACAGUACAGUGAAUACAUAGCUGUAUUGAGCGAACGUGGGGAAGUGAACCAUCUCAGUACCCAUAGGAAGAGAAAACAACAGUGAUUCCGUUAGUAGUGGCGAGCGAACGCGGAACAGCCUAAACCGGUCGAUCUUCGGAGAGACCGGGGUUGCAGGGCCUCAAUAUCAAGAGGUCAUUCACCUACGGUGAGUGGCGUCUUGGUAAAUGAAUGAUAAGAAAGUGAUAACUGAACGGUCUUGAAAGGCCGGCCAUAGAGGGUGACAGCCCCGUAUGUAAAAUUGCAAUCUUCGUUCUAGAGGUUCCUAAGUAGCGCGAGGCACGAGAAACCUUGCGUGAAUCCGCCGGGACCAUCCGGCAAGGCUAAAUACUCGAUUGAGACCGAUAGUGAACCAGUACCGUGAGGGAAAGGCGAAAAGAACCCCUGCGAGGGGAGUGAAAUAGUACCUGAAACCGCAUGCCUACAAGCAGUUGGAGGACAUUAAAGUCUGACAUCGUGCCUAUUGAAUAAUGAGCUGGCUAGUUAAUCUCAGUGGCAAGGUUAAGCGUAAGCGAGCCGAAGCGAAAGCGAGUCUGAACAGGGCGUUCAGUCGCUGGGAUUAGACGCGAAGCGGGAUGAUCUACCCUUGGCCAGGAUGAAGGCCGUGUAACAGCGGCUGGAGGUCCGAACCAGUGUUGGUUGAAAACAGCUUGGAUGAGCUGAGGGUAGGGGUGAAAGGCUAAUCAAAUUCCGUGAUAGCUCGUUCUCUCCGAAAUAGCUUUAGGGCUAGCGUUGGUUGUACCGUCUCGGCGGUAGAGACAUGGAUGGACUAGGGGCCUUUCCAGGUUACCGAAUCCAAUCAAACUUCGAAUUCCGAGAAUGAAUUAACCAGCAGUCAGACGGCGCGGGCUAAGCUGCGUCGUCGAAAGGGGAAGAGCCCAGACCAUCAACUAAGGCCCCCAAAUUCCAGCUAAGUGGGAAAGGAAGUCGGGUUGCAGUGACAGCCAGGAGGUUGGCUUAGAAGCAGCCAUCCUUUAAAGAAAGCGUAAUAGCUCACUGGUCGAGCGACCCGGUGCCGACAAUCCAACGGGGCUAAAGCUGGAUGCCGAAGUUAUGGGUGCACAGCAAUGUGCGCGGUAGGAGAGCGUUCCUAAUGCAGUGAAGGUAGACCGUGAGGACUGCUGAAGCGUUAGGAAGUGACUCUGCCAGCAUAAGUAGCGAAAAACGAAGUGAGAACCUUCGUCGCCGUAAGUCUAAGGUUUCCUGAGAAAGGUUAAUCCGCUCAGGGUUAGUCGGAGCCUAAGGUGAGGCCGAAAGGCGUAGCUGAUGGACAACAGGUUUAUAUUCCUGUACUUCUUUUAGUUUCGAUGCGGGGACGCUGGAUGGAGCUCUGUGAGGUAAUGGUUUCCGUAACAGGGUGAAGUCAGAGGGGGAUAGGCAAAUCCGCCCCUUCGUCAGCCGGGAAAAUCCGCUAAGGCUAGGCUAAGAGAAUCCGUACCACAAACCGACACAGGUGGACGUGUUGAAUAUACUCAGGCGCUCGGGCGAUGAGUUGUUUAGGAACUAGGCAAAUUGACCCCGUAACUUCGGGAGAAGGGGUGCCCCCCUCGGGGGGCCGCAGUGAAACGCGUCAGGCGACUGUUUAACAAAAACACAGGUCUCUGCAAAGUCUAAAACGACGUAUAGGGGCUGACGCCUGCCCGGUGCUGGAAGGUUAAAGGGAGUGGUUAGCGCAAGCGAAGCUAUGAACUGAAGCCCCAGUGAACGGCGGCCGUAACUAUAACGGUCCUAAGGUAGCGAAAUUCCUUGUCGGGUAAGUUCCGACCUGCACGAAUGG
rnacentral:rRNA from 1 species